AAUCUCGAAAAUAAAAGAUUUAAAAAUUUUUCUUAGUUUUUGUUUUAAUAAAAUUUAAAAAAGAUUUUUGGGGAUGAGACAUCAGUCGAUUUUAUUUAUAUCUAGCAACUUUAGAAAAAGAUUUAUUUUAGGGUGUUUAGGGUGUCUUAUUCUUACUACAUUCUUAUUUUUUAGGGGAUGAGCUCUAAGAAAAAUAUAAAAGGAUAAAAUUAUUGACUUCUGAUUAGGCUUAGAAUUAGCUAUAGGAUAGUGUUAUAAGAUAGGAGGACGAGGAAAGGAUUUAUAUGGCCUUUUUUAUUAAUGAAGUUAUUUUUAAAUUAUGUUGUUUAAGUAAAAAUGGUAAAAUUAGUAGAAAGUUAUUUGAUUAUUUUGAGAGUAAAUUUUAAGUGUAAAUAUAAUAAAAGAAUUCGGCAAAUUGGAUUUCCGAAUGUUUAACAAAAACAUUUCCUCCCAGAGGGGGAGGUAAGGCCUGCUCACUGAGUAUUAAAGAGCCGCAGUAUAUUGACUGUGCUAAGGUAGCAUAAUCAUUAGUCUUUUAAUUGAGGGCUGGUAUGAAUGGCUAAACGAGAAAUCAGCUUUUUUUGUUAUAAAUAUUGAAUUUAACUUUUUAGUGAAAAGGCUAAAAUUUUUCAGAAAGACGAGAAGACCCUAUAGAGUUUGAUGCAGGCUACAUAUUUAAUCUCAUUUGGUUAAAGAUAGAGUAUUGUGGUGCAUUUUGUUGGGGCGACACUAAGAUACAAAAAACUCUUUAUUUUUUUAACUAGAAUGUUAGGGUGAAAGAUUGAUCCUCUAAAAGAGAUCAAAAGAAAAAAUUACCUUAGGGAUAACAGCGUAAUCUUUUUUGAGAGUUCUAAUCGACGAAAAGGUUUGCGACCU
rnacentral:rRNA from 1 species